CUGAACCAGCCAAGUAGCGUGAAGGAUGACUGCCCUAUGGGUUGUAAACUUCUUUUAUAUGGGAAUAAAGUUGUCCACGUGUGGAUUUUUGUAUGUACCAUAUGAAUAAGGAUCGGCUAACUCCGUGCCAGCAGCCGCGGUAAUACGGAGGAUCCGAGCGUUAUCCGGAUUUAUUGGGUUUAAAGGGAGCGUAGACGGGUUUUUAAGUCAGUUGUGAAAGUUUGCGG
rnacentral:rRNA from 1 species